rnacentral:rRNA from 1 species
CCUACGGGGGGCAGCAGUGGGGAAUAUUGGACAAUGGGGGCAACCCUGAUCCAGCCAUGCCGCGUGUGUGAAGAAGGCCCUCGGGUUGUAAAGCACUUUCAGUGAGGAAGAACGCCUGGUGGUUAAUACCCAUCAGGAAAGACAUCACUCACAGAAGAAGCACCGGCUAACUCCGUGCCAGCAGCCGCGGUAAUACGGAGGGUGCGAGCGGUAAUCGGAAUUACUGGGCGUAAAGCGCGCGUAGGUGGCUUGAUAAGCCGGUUGUGAAAGCCCCGGGGCUCAACCUGGGAACGCAUCCGGAACUGUCAAGCUAGAGUGCAGGAGAGGAAGGUAGAAUUCCCGGUGUAGCAGUGAAAUGCGUAGAGAUCGGGAGGAAUACCAGUGGCGAAGGCGGCCUUCUGGACUGACACUGACACUGAGGUGCGAAAGCGUGGGUAGCAAACAGGAUUAGAUACCCCGGUAGUC